rnacentral:rRNA from 1 species
CCUACUGGUGGCAGCAGUGGGGAAUAUUGGGCAAUGGGCGCAAGCCUGACCCAGCAACGCCGCGUGAAGGAAGAAGGCUUUCGGGUUGUAAACUUCUUUUAUGAGGGAAGAAAAAAAUGACGGUACCUCAUGAAUAAGCCACGGCUAACUACGUGCCAGCAGCCGCGGUAAUACGUAGGUGGCAAGCGUUAUCCGGAUUUACUGGGUGUAAAGGGCGUGCAGCCGGGCUGACAAGUCAGAUGUGAAAACCAGGGGCUCAACCUCUGGAGUGCAUUUGAAACUGUUGGUCUUGAGUAUCGGAGAGGUAACCGGAAUUCCUAGUGUAGCGGUGAAAUGCGUAGAUAUUAGGAAGAACAUCAGUGGCGAAGGCGGGUUACUGGACGACAACUGACGGUGAGGCGCGAAAGCGUGGGGAGCAAACAUGAUUAGAUACCCUGGUAGUC